GAUGAAGAACGUAGCGAAAUGCGAUACGUAAUGUGAAUUGCAGAAUUCAGUGAAUCAUCGAAUCUUUGAACGCAUAUUGCGCUCUCUGGUAUUCCGGAGAGCAUGCUUGUUUGAGUAUCAGUAAACACCUCAACUCCCUUUUCUUUUUUGAAAUGGGAGCUGGACUUGAGUGAUCCCAACACUUUUCUCACUGGAAAGUGGCGGGUCACUUGAAAUGCAGGUGCAGCUGGACUUUUCUCUGAGCUAUAAGCAUAUCUAUUUAGUCUGCCUAAAAAACAGAUUAUUACCUUUGCUGCAGCUAACAUAAAGGAGAUGAGUUCUUGUGCUGACUGAUGCAGGAUUCACAGAGACAGCUUUGCGGCUGACUUUGUAAACUCGAUCACAAAUCAAGUAAGACUACCCGCUGAACUUAAGCAUAUCAAUAAGCGGAGGA
rnacentral:misc_RNA from 1 species